rnacentral:rRNA from 1 species
GGUUAAGUUAGAAAGGGCGCACGGUGGAUGCCUUGGCACUAGGAGCCGAUGAAGGACGGGACGAACACCGAUAUGCUUCGGGGAGCUGUAAGCAAGCUUUGAUCCGGAGAUUUCCGAAUGGGGAAACCCACCACUCGUAAUGGAGUGGUAUCCAUAUCUGAAUACAUAGGAUAUGAGAAGGCAGACCCGGGGAACUGAAACAUCUAAGUACCCGGAGGAAGAGAAAGCAAAUGCGAUUCCCUGAGUAGCGGCGAGCGAAACGGGACCAGCCCAAACCAAGAGGCUUGCCUCUUGGGGUUGUAGGACACUCUGUACGGAGUUACAAAGGAACGAGGUAGAUGAAGAGGUCUGGAAAGGCCCGCCAUAGGAGGUAACAGCCCUGUAGUCAAAACUUCGUUCUCUCCUGAGUGGAUCCUGAGUACGGCGGAACACGUGAAAUUCCGUCGGAAUCCGGGAGGACCAUCUCCCAAGGCUAAAUACUCCCUAGUGACCGAUAGUGAACCAGUACCGUGAGGGAAAGGUGAAAAGCACCCCGGAAGGGGAGUGAAAGAGAUCCUGAAACCGUGUGCCUACAAGUAGUCAGAGCCCGUUAACGGGUGAUGGCGUGCCUUUUGUAGAAUGAACCGGCGAGUUACGAUCCCGUGCAAGGUUAAGCAGAAGAUGCGGAGCCGCAGCGAAAGCGAGUCUGAAUAGGGCGAAUUGAGUACGUGGUCGUAGACCCGAAACCAGGUGAUCUACCCAUGUCCAGGGUGAAGUUCAGGUAACACUGAAUGGAGGCCCGAACCCACGCACGUUGAAAAGUGCGGGGAUGAGGUGUGGGUAGGGGUGAAAUGCCAAUCGAACCUGGAGAUAGCUGGUUCUCUCCGAAAUAGCUUUAGGGCUAGCCUCAAGGUAAGAGUCUCGGAGGUAGAGCACUGAUUGGACUAGGGGCCCCUACCGGGUUACCGAAUUCAGUCAAACUCCGAAUGCCGAUGACUUAUCCUUGGGAGUCAGACUGCGAGUGAUAAGAUCCGUAGUCGAAAGGGAAACAGCCCAGACCGCCAGCUAAGGUCCCAAAGUAUACGUUAAGUGGAAAAGGAUGUGGAGUUGCUUAGACAACCAGGAUGUUGGCUUAGAAGCAGCCACCAUUUAAAGAGUGCGUAAUAGCUCACUGGUCGAGUGACUCUGCGCCGAAAAUGUACCGGGGCUAAACGUAUCACCGAAGCUGCGGACUGUUCUUCGAACAGUGGUAGGAGAGCGUUCUAAGGGCUGUGAAGCAAGACCGGAAGGACUUGUGGAGCGCUUAGAAGUGAGAAUGCCGGUAUGAGUAGCGAAAGAGGGGUGAGAAUCCCCUCCACCGAAUGCCUAAGGUUUCCUGAGGAAGGCUCGUCCGCUCAGGGUUAGUCGGGACCUAAGCCGAGGCCGAAAGGCGUAGGCGAUGGAUAACAGGUUGAUAUUCCUGUACCACCUCCUCACCAUUUGAGCAAUGGGGGGACGCAGGAGGAUAGGGUAAGCGCGGUAUUGGAUAUCCGCGUCCAAGCAGUUAGGCUGGGAAAUAGGCAAAUCCGUUUCCCGUGAAGGCUGAGCUGUGAUGGCGAGCGAAUUAUAGUAGCGAAGUUCCUGAUUCCACACUGCCAAGAAAAGCCUCUAGCGAGGUGAGAGGUGCCCGUACCGCAAACCGACACAGGUAGGCGAGGAGAGAAUCCUAAGGUGAUCGAGAGAACUCUCGUUAAGGAACUCGGCAAAAUGACCCCGUAACUUCGGGAGAAGGGGUGCUCUGUUAGGGUGCAAGCCCGAGAGAGCCGCAGUGAAUAGGCCCAGGCGACUGUUUAGCAAAAACACAGGUCUCUGCGAAGCCGUAAGGCGAAGUAUAGGGGCUGACGCCUGCCCGGUGCUGGAAGGUUAAGAGGAGCGCUUAGCGUAAGCGAAGGUGCGAAUUGAAGCCCCAGUAAACGGCGGCCGUAACUAUAACGGUCCUAAGGUAGCGAAAUUCCUUGUCGGGUAAGUUCCGACCCGCACGAAAGGCGCAACGAUCUGGGCACUGUCUCAACGAGAGACUCGGUGAAAUUAUAGUACCUGUGAAGAUGCAGGUUACCCGCGACAGGACGGAAAGACCCCGUGGAGCUUUACUGCAGCCUGAUAUUGAAUGUUGGUACAGCUUGUACAGGAUAGGUAGGAGCCUUGGAAACCGGAGCGCCAGCUUCGGUGGAGGCAUCGGUGGGAUACUACCCUGGCUGUAUUGACCUUCUAACCCGCCGCCCUUAUCGGGCGGGGAGACAGUGUCAGGUGGGCAGUUUGACUGGGGCGGUCGCCUCCUAAAAGGUAACGGAGGCGCCCAAAGGUUCCCUCAGAAUGGUUGGAAAUCAUUCGCAGAGUGUAAAGGCACAAGGGAGCUUGACUGCGAGACCUACAAGUCGAGCAGGGACGAAAGUCGGGCUUAGUGAUCCGGUGGUUCCGCAUGGAAGGGCCAUCGCUCAACGGAUAAAAGCUACCCCGGGGAUAACAGGCUUAUCUCCCCAAGAGUCCACAUCGACGGGGAGGUUUGGCACCUCGAUGUCGGCUCAUCGCAUCCUGGGGCUGUAGUCGGUCCCAAGGGUUGGGCUGUUCGCCCAUUAAAGCGGUACGCGAGCUGGGUUCAGAACGUCGUGAGACAGUUCGGUCCCUAUCCGUCGCGGGCGCAGGAAAUUUGAGAGGAGCUGUUCUUAGUACGAGAGGACCGGGAUGGACGCACCGCUGGUGUACCAGUUGUUCUGCCAAGGGCAUCGCUGGGUAGCUAUGUGCGGACGGGAUAAGUGCUGAAAGCAUCUAAGCAUGAAGCCCCCCUCAAGAUGAGAUUUCCCAUUCCGCAAGGAAGUAAGAUCCCUGAAAGAUGAUCAGGUUGAUAGGUCUGAGGUGGAAGUGUGGCGACACAUGGAGCUGACAGAUACUAAUCGAUCGAGGACUUAACCAA